rnacentral:rRNA from 1 species
AGCAGAAAGUGGCGAACGGGUGAGUAACGCGUGGGUAAUCUACCCUGUCAAGUGGGGGAUAACCCUCCGAAAGGAGGGCUAAUACCGCAUAAUAUCUUCUCCUCUAAAAGAGGUAAAGAUUAAAGAUGGCCUCUAUACUAUGCUAUCGCUUCAGGAUGAGCCCGCGUCCUAUUAGUUAGUUGGUGGGGUAAUGGCCUACCAAGACCACAAUGGGUAGCCGGUCUGAGAGGAUGUACGGCCACACUGGGACUGAGAUACGGCCCAGACUCCUACGGGAGGCAGCAGUGGGGAAUAUUGCGCAAUGGGGGAAACCCUGACGCAGCGACGCCGCGUGGAUGAUGAAGGCCUUUGGGUUGUAAAAUCCUGUUCUGGGGGAAGAAAGCUUAAGGGUCCAAUAAACCCUUAAGCCUGACGGUACCCCAAGAGAAAGCUCCGGCUAAUUAUGUGCCAGCAGCCGCGGUAAUACAUAAGGAGCAAGCGUUAUCCGGAAUUAUUGGGCGUAAAGAGCUCGUAGGCGGUCUUAAAAGUCAGUUGUGAAAUUAUCAGGCUCAACCUGAUAAGGUCAUCUGAAACUCUAAGACUUGAGGUUAGAAGAGG